UUUUAGGAUUUUCUUAUGCCUAGUUAGUUUUUUUUGAAAAAAAAACCUCACCUGCAGUGAUAUUUUGUUUUUGUUCUCAGUAGUUGUCACAGGUGUGGUAUAACAAUAAAACUGUUGCAUCUUACGUCACUUUGCACCGAGCUAGGGCUCUACUGAGAUUUAAUCUACAUGCAAUGUCUCUCUAGCAUAAAGAAAGCUUUAAUAAUAAGAGAAAGUCAAUGAGCUUCAUGUACUUUUUAUAAAACAUGACACAAGGCAAUAUAAUUAAAACUAAACUUAUUUCCUGUGGUGAAAUUAACUUACAAAAAUGAAGGUGUUUAUUUAUUAAAUAGGAUCUCUGGAGUUCUUGCCUUACUCUUACCCCUCCUGGGAAGGUUUUGAUUGUUUGCUUCCUUUCUUUUGCCUUCUUGCUGUGUAAUUUAAAACUGAUAUCUUCCUUGGGGAAACAAAAUUUGAUUGGAGAACUGCCUGCAUCACUAGCUAAACAAAUUACCAAUGUUUUACUCACUUUUCUUUUCUUUUUCUUCCCCCCCACCACCACCCCUUCCCCCAUAACUACGAGGGAAAGGAGAAAAAAGUGUGCAGAGUUUUUAGAAACAUAGUACAGUGAAAAUUGGGGUUUUUUUCAGUAACAAGGAAGGCCUUUUCUUUCAGGGUGAGUAAACACCUUUUUUAGUAAUAGGAAAAUAAGUUAGCAGGUUGUUGCUUUUUUGUUACUUUCCAAGUCUUUUGGUGUUGAAUUUUGGUCUCCUAGUGCAUGGACUGAAUGGAUGCAGCUGAUCUAUGUUAUAUAACGUGUCAUUUUGGAAGGAUCAAAGAGAUAUGUGAAGUCAGUGUUGAGAGCUACUAAAAUGAAAAUGGUUGGCAGUGUCCUUACGAUGAUGUGUUAAAACAGAAGGCAAAGCAGUAGAGUUGUGCUUGCUUGAUUAAGAAAAAAUGUAUCAUUGAAAGGAAUGGUGAAUGCCAAAAUCAAGAUAGGGCACUUGUUUCAUUGUGAGCCAUGGCUUCUCUUAAGAAGAAUAUUGAUAAUAGAAGUUUUCUUUUGGUGUGAAAGUAAGUUAAGAUGUGGGCAAAAUCAAGCUCAUGAAGUUCAGCUGAAAGAAUUGAAACCUGUAUCCCUUAUGGAUCUGAUCUUCAUGAAUUGGGUUUCUGCAGUAAUGUGGGCAGAAUUCUAGGUAUUCUUUUCCAUAUUUUCAUAAUCCCUUCUUCAGAGGCAAAAAGUUAAAUAAUUCAGAUCUUGUAGUCCUCACAAAGUAGUAGAUACUUUUAGCUAGCUUGAAAGAUGUUUUGAUGUAUUUGAAUGCUUGUACACUGUCUAUUGGGAAUAAUUAGUCAUUACAUUCUUUCCAAAGUCAUCAUGGCUUUCCUGUAUGCUGUAGAAUUGAGAACUGUUCAGAAUAUUUACUGAAAACUGUGAGCCACUAAAAGUUCAUAUCCCAAACUAAGAGAGAAUUUUUUUUCUUCUUGCCCCUAGCAGUAAUUAUUGACAUGAUACUGGGAAAUUCACAAAAUAAAAAUGGGCAACCAGCACUUCAUUGUGCAAUGAGUGGAGGUGUUUCUACCUUCAGUGUUUAGAAAUAGGUCGAUACUUCACUUUAUGUUCUGGUUUGAGUGAAGUCCUUUAUCAUAGUGAAAAUAUAUUUUGAUAGUUUCAAUGAUAUUCUGGGGGUGAUAUCACAUUUUUUAUUUGUUAUACUUACCUGCAUCAAUGAUAGCUGAGAUUUGGGUUAAUUUUUAGUGUUGUGUGGAAUAUUUGCUAGUAUAUGUUUUUCUGAGAUACAAAAAUCAAUCCAUAUUUUGUUUUUUUUUUCCUUCAGAUUUUAGUUUUAUGUUUCUUAAUUCUUUUAUGCAAGACUUCUUGGAUGCAUAAGCUUGAACUUACUGAAGGGGGCCACACUUCAGAUGCAAGAGAAGGGGAUAUUGGUUGGCUUCAUUAAGUGGGAAGAAAGGUUAGAAGAAGGCUAAUUUUCAUUUUACCAGGAGAAAAAGAGCUGGGUCAGAGUCUGGCAUGGAGCAUCAGAGGGCAUUUCCAGAGCACGCGGAAAGGAUCCCUUGAGCAGUGUAUGAAAGGCAGGCCUGAUGCUGCCUGACAAUUCCUUUGAUCACGUUUCUUUUCUGGGAAGGUGCUUUCUGUAAUGCUGGACCCUCACAGGUAUUUUCAGCAAGCUAUUAUGAAUGAGGCAAAUAAGCACAGUGACAGUCUUUGAAGUCCAUUUGAUUUGUCAAUGGUUGUUGGUGGAGUUUCAUUCUGAGGUAAUUUUGUUUACCAAAACAACUGUCUAAUUAAAUCAACUAACUAAAUAAUGUAGUAAAAAACCCCCAACCAAACCUUUCCCUUCUGGAAUAAUUGAAUUUUGGAUUAGGUUUCAUAUUCAUGUCUUAUUUACAAUUGUAAAUGCACAUUUUUCAUCAAUAUUUUCUGACAGGUUUGUAUUGGAUUUAGGCCCAGAAGGCUUUCUGCAGAUUCAAGUUUCCAAAAAGCUAUUGUUUUAGUGAUUUUUUUUCCAGAUUUUUCACAGUGUAUUAUAAAUGUCUUAUUUUCUUUACUGAUUUAUCUUUAUUUCCUUCUAUCUGAAGACAUGCUCUGCAGAUUAAAGUAAAUAAACGGUUCCAACCC